GCACAUCCCUUCUGCUCUGGGACGCAGCUGUCAGUGAGGGUGGAGGCUGUCCUGCUGCAGAAAGCCGAGUUUCCAGUGCUGGGCCUUAAGAAAUAGAAGUUGAACCAACUGACUGAUAUUGAAGGUGUAGUAGAAGAAAUAUCAGAGCUUCAGCAAAUCCUUUUUAUGUGAAAUGUAACGGAAAAAUGGCUGCAAUACAUUUCAAGCAAAAGACAAGACGAGCACUUACAGACAUCUUAAGCGACCAAUUGAUUUGUUGAUGACACUGAUGAAGGACAGUGCCCCUUAGUAAA